rnacentral:rRNA from 1 species
UGCGUAGGCGGUUAUUUAAGUAGGGUGUGAAAUGCCCCGGCUCAACCGGGGAACUGCGCUCUAAACUGGGUAACUUGAGUGAGAUAGAGGUGUGCGGAACUUCCGGUGGAGCGGUGAAAAAUGUGUUGAUAUCGGAGGGAACACCAUUGGCGAAAGCGGCACACUGGGUCUCAACUGACGCUGAGGCACGAAAGCCAGGGGAGCAAACG